AUGUCGAAUCUGCAACCAACCUAUUUGAUCGCCAAAAGGGAGACGAGGGAGGGUAGGGGAGAGGAGUGGAGCGAAGGCGGCGUGGCGUUGGGUUUCCGGGUGAAGGCUUGUUCCCGCGAGUCGGCGGCGCAGAAGGCGGCCAACGUGCUGGAGCCCGACCUCCGCUCCCACUGGUCCACCGCCACCAACACCAAGGAGUGGAUCCUCCUCGAGCUCAAGGAGCCCUGCCUCGUCUCCCACAUCCGCAUCUACAACAAGUCCGUCCUCAAAUGGGAGGUCACGGCGGGGCUGUGCUACAAGCCCGAGGCGUUCGUCAAGGUCCGUCCGCGCGGCGAAGCUCCCAAGCGCGACAUGGUGUACCCGGCGAACCACACCCCUUGCCGCUACGUCCGCGUCUCGGGGCAGCCCCAUUGCCAUCUUCUUCAUCCAGCUCAUCGGAACCCCUGUACCUGGCCUCGAACCUGAAUUCCAACCUCUCGUCAACUACUUGUUGCCGCAAAUCUCUUCCUCGCAGAAGCAAUCUUAUUCUUCCCACAAUAUGCAUCUGCAGUUACUCAAAGACAUUGCGAGCAGGCUAUCACCGUUUCUGCCCCAGAUUGAGGCUGACCUUAAUAGCAUAGCAGACACCCCAGAGAGCAGUGUUCGGUUUUUGGCUCUGCUUGCUGGCCCAUUUUACCCUAUCCUUCGCCUUAUACAUGAAAGGGAUGCUACAAAAACGUUGAUCUGCUCUGCUGAUUCAGAUACCCUAAAGAUCAGUGUGGCUUCUACUCCAACCGUGUCCUCAAACUUCGAGGCACAACCUAGGAGAUCACGGAGUCCAUCUUCUGUUGAGCCUGCUUCACGUAUGCUGGCAUUUCGAUCUGAAACAGCUGUACUACUCUUAAGAAAAGCACAGAAAGACAAAACCCUUAGAAUUGUUUGCUACCGAGUAUCAAGGGUACCGCAAAAACUUCUUGAGCCUGAGCCAUUGUUUGACGAACGAGUCAAUUUCUAAUGAUGGCAUGUUUUUGAGUCAUGUCUCUGAUGAAGUUCAUAAAAGUGAUUCUUCCAGCCUACUUUUUACAAACUACUCUAAUUUGUUUGGAGAAGAAACUAGCUUACCGGAAAAUCACUUCGAUAGCUCUUUUCUGAAUGUUUUGGAUAUUGCUGCUGCUGAAGAAGGCAUCCUUCAUGUACUGUAUGCAACCACAUCACAGCCUCAGUUAAGUUGCAAGCUUUCUGAAACUUCUUCAGACAUGUGGUCUGUCUUACCGCUUGUUCAAGCUCUUCUUCCAGCGCUUCGUCCUACAUUCAGUGUUGGCCCUACCAAACAGGUUGAUGAUUCUUUUAGCCAAUGGAACCAUCCAGAUGUUCAUAAGGCUCUUUCCCAGAUUGGCAUCAUUUACCAUUCCUUAAGGCAAGAGCAGCUUGUGUUUUGCUUGAUUUGUGCACGGGGCCAUUAUCACCUUGGGUGCCCAUGGUCACAGCAAAGUGGAACUUCUGGAGGAUCUCCUAGGUGUUAUCCAGCACUGAAGUAUGUUGUUUUGGCCAUAUCUGGGAAUAUGGAUGAUGUUCUCACAGAAUAUAAAGAAGUCAAGCAUAAACUCCUUUUCAUUCUGGAGAUGCUGGAUCCUUUUAUUGGUCAUGCUAUAAGUGCCAGGGAAGACACGGUAUCAUUUGGCGGUGUCUCUGCUGUGAAUUUGGAGAAACAAGCAAAAGCUUGCGACCUUGCCUUAAAUAUUAUUCGUACAGCAGCAAAGAAUCCUGCUGUACUCCCUUCUUUGGAACUUGAAUGGCGGCGAGGUGCUGUUGCCCCAAGUAACAGCAUCCUGAAUUGUACGGGGCAACCGUUCUGUGUAAUAGAAGAGGGCUAUUUGACACGAAUGUCCUUGUUGUUGCUUUCAAAGGCCUGUCUUUAUUCUUCUUCUGAAGAUAUUGCUUUAAUACCUGAAUGUGUUUGGAGGAAGUUAGAAAACAUGCAAACAUCAGUAACCGGGGUUUUUGGUGAUGUCGAGAAAGAUCUCUGCCGAGCUUUAUGUCAGCUAAGAAUUGAAUCCGAUGCUAAAACAGUUGUAAAAGAACUUCUUGCAGGAUCAACUACAAAACCAGUCAACACUGAUUAUAAGAGCAUUCGUGAAUCAAUUCUUCAGGUUUUAUCGUCCUUGAGUUCUGUUGAAUCAUACUUCGAGUUCUUCUCAAUCAGAUCGGAUCGGGAAUAUCAGGAACUUGAAGAAGCUGAGAUUGAAUUGGAGCUUAUUGCAAACGAGAAAGCAGUCCAGAAAUUUGUUGGACAUCCCCAGGAUAUCGUGGUGGCUCCAGACGUGUUAUCAUAUUAUAAGGAUGGUACUGAAGUUAUAAACGGCUUCAGCAGAUCCGUCAAGAUAUACGGUCCCUAGAAAGGUCCAAGCUCAGAGAGGAAAUUAUAGCACGCCGACAGAAGAAGCUGCUUAUCAGACAUGCUCAGGAGAAGUACUUGGAAGAGACGAGUUUUAAGGAAAUGGAGCUUAUGCAAGAGCUUGAUAGGGAAAAGAGCUCUUGAGAUGGAGCAUGAAAUUGAAAGGCAGCGACAGCUAGACCUUGAGCGUGUGAAGUCCAGGGAACUGCAAUAUAAACUAGAUAUGGAAAGAGAGAAACAAACUCAGAGAGAGCUUGAACGUGAGUUGGAGCAAGUUGAGUUGGGUGGUGAGGAAGAUGAGGCAAAGCAUGGUGAAUUGGGCAGGGGAUCUAGCUCCAGCAACUGGCACCCACCCCACAACUGUAGUUGAAUCUGUGUGUCCUGUGCAUAUUGUGAAAACAUCUGCAUGAUUUCAUGCACAAAACACAACCGUGUCAGAGUUGCAUGCUUGUUGUCAAUAUGCCCUGGAACUUGUCAUGUACUUGCAUCAAAGAUGCAGUAGUAUCAAUGUAGCAGAGCAGAGACAAGGUGGCAAAUUCAGACAUGAAGAGAUUGGGUGAAAGUCACAUUGAGUGCACUACACCAGUCUGCCACAACAAAAUAGUCGCUAUUCUGGGAAAAAGCAAUGGGGUACAUCAUCAUCAUACUGUUGCCAUUCCGCUGUAUCAUACAAUCACAUUACCAACGACCUAACUGGUACAAAUGAAUAGGUGCAUAUUGUAUAUUGAA